GCCGUGGUGGCGGAACUGGCAGACGCACAGGACUUAAAAUCCUGCGAUCAUUGCGAUCGUACCGGUUCGAUUCCGGUCCUCGGCACCA
rnacentral:tRNA from 1 species